rnacentral:rRNA from 1 species
UACGAAGGGGGGCUAGCGUUGUUCGGAAUCACUGGGCGUAAAGCGCACGUAGGCGGAUCUUUAAGUCAGGGGUGAAAUCCUGGAGCUCAACUCCAGAACUGCCUUUGAUACUGGCGAUCUUGAGUCCGGGAGAGGUGAGUGGAACUGCGAGUGUAGAGGUGAAAUUCGUAGAUAUUCGCAAGAACACCAGUGGCGAAGGCGGCUCACUGGCCCGGUACUGACGCUGAGGUGCGAAAGCGUGGGGAGCAAACAGGAUUAGAAACCCGGUCAGU